rnacentral:rRNA from 1 species
AUUGAACGCUGGCGGCAUGCCUUACACAUGCAAGUCGAACGGCAGCACGGGAGCAAUCCUGGUGGCGAGUGGCGAACGGGUGAGUAAUACAUCGGAACGUGCCCAGUAGUGGGGGAUAACCCGGCGAAAGCCGGACUAAUACCGCAUACGACCUACGGGUGAAAGCAGGGGAUCGCAAGACCUUGCGCUAUUGGAGCGGCCGAUGUCAGAUUAGCUUGUUGGGGGUAAAAGCCUACCAAGGCAACGAUCUGUAGCUGGUCUGAGAGGACGACCAGCCACACUGGGACUGAGACACGGCCCAGACUCCUACGGGAGGCAGCAGUGGGGAAUUUUGGACAAUGGGCGCAAGCCUGAUCCAGCCAUGCCG